rnacentral:rRNA from 1 species
UUUAAAUGUAAAGUUUUGAGCUUAAUGAUUAUUAGUUAUAUUCUUUAAAGUUAAAGAAUUUGGCGGUAUUUUAGUCUAUUUAGAGGAACCUGUUCUAUAAUCGAUAAUCCACGAUUUAUUAUACUUAUUUUUAAAGUUUAUAUAUCGUCGUAGUUUGAGUAUUUUAAAAGAAUUUUAAUAUUCAGGAUUCUUAAUAAGGGAAAAAAUCAGAUCAAGGUGUAGCUUAUAAAUAAGCAGUAAUGGGUUACAAUAAAAUUAUUUAAAUGGUAUAGUUAUAUUAAAAAUUUCUGUUAAAGUGGAUUUAAAAGUAAUAAAAUUAAAUUAAGUUUUAUGAUUUUAGCUCUGGGAUAUGU